GAUCCUGGCUCAGGAUGAACGCUAGCUACAGGCUUAACACAUGCAAGUCGAGGGGCAGCAUGGUCUUAGCUUGCUAAGGCCGAUGGCGACCGGCGCACGGGUGAGUAACGCGUAUCCAACCUGCCUUACACUCUUGGACAGUCUUCUGAAAGGGAGAUUAAUACAAGAUGUUAUCAUGAGUAAGCAUUUUCGCAUGAUUAAAGGUUUACCGGUGUAAGAUGGUGAUGCGUU
rnacentral:rRNA from 1 species